rnacentral:misc_RNA from 1 species
GAUGAAGAACGUAGCGAAAUGCGAUAAGUAAUGUGAAUUGCAGAAUUCAGUGAACCAUCGAAUCUUUGGACGCACAUUGCGCCCGGCAGUAAUCUGCCGGGCAUGCCUGUCCGAGCGUCAUUUCUCCCCUCGAGCGCAGCUUUCCCCCCCGGGGGAGGGCCGCGCCCGGUGUUGGGGCGCUACGGAGGAGCCCAGCGCUCCCCCGUAGGCCCCGAAAUGUAGUGGCGGUCCCGCCGCGGCGCCCCCUGCGUAGUAGUUUUACAACUCGCAUCGGGUCCCGGCGGAGGCCAGCCGUCAAACCCCCCAACUUCAAUAGUUUGACCUCGGAUCAGGUAGGGUUACCCGCUGAACUUAAGCAUAUCAAUAAGCGGAGGA